UACAGAGGUCUCAAGCGUUGUUCGGAUUCAUUGGGCGUAAAGGGUGCGUAGGUGGCGCCGUAAGUCAGGUGUGAAAUUUCGGAGCUUAACUCCGAAACUGCAUUUGAUACUGCGGUGCUUGAGGACUGGAGAGGAGACUGGAAUUUACGGUGUAGCAGUGAAAUGCGUAGAGAUCGUAAGGAAGACCAGUGGCGAAGGCGGCUCACUGGACCGGAACUGACGCUGAGGCGCGAAAGCGUGGGGAGCAAACGGG
rnacentral:rRNA from 1 species